rnacentral:lncRNA from 1 species
CAAAAAGAUAGAAAAAAAAAGAAGAAUAAAGCCCAUGUCACGUGGUGCUUGCUUUCAAAGAGCGAAAAUUUUGUCUCAAAGAGUGCAAUUUUUAUCUCAAAUAGUAUAAAGUUCUUUUAAAAUAGUAUAAUUUUAUUUUCUUCUUCUUCUUCUUUUCUUGUUCUUUACCCUUUUUUUAUAGAAAAUUUUUGGCCAAUUUGCAUAAAAAAUCCACUUAUUUUGGGCUUUUGCAAAAUCGGGCCACCUUUUUCAUUUUUGCAGAUUCGGUCCGUUUUUUCAGCAAACUGACCAAAAUACCCUUAUUACUUUUUCUCUUUCCUCUUUCUCUCUCUUCUUCGUUUCUCUCGUUCUUAUAAAAAAAAAUAAACAGGAAAUAUAAAAUUAUUUUUAAAACAAAUUUUAUUUAAAUUAUUUAAAUUUUUUGAAUUUUAAAUUAUAAAAGUUAAUUUGCGUAAAAAAUCUAUCAAUUUUGAUAAUUUACAAAAAUAUGCCACUAUUUUAGAUUUUGCAGAUUCAGUCUGAAUUUUUAAAAAACUGACGAAAAUACUAUUAUUCUCUUUACUCUCUCCUCUUUUUUCUUUUGUUCUCCAACUCUCCUCCACCGCCUUCGCAGUCCUUCG